AAAUUGAAGAGUUUGAUCAUGGCUCAGAUUGAACGCUGGCGGCAGGCCUAACACAUGCAAGUCGAACGGUAACAGGAAGCAGCUUGCUGCUUCGCUGACGAGUGGCGGACGGGUGAGUAAUGUCUGGGAAACUGCCUGAUGGAGGGGGAUAACUACUGGAAACGGUAGCUAAUACCGCAUAAUGUCGCAGGACCAAAGAGGGGGACCUUCGGGCCUCUUGCCAUCAGAUGUGCCCAGAUGGGAUUAG
rnacentral:rRNA from 1 species